ACCCACACACACACACACAAAUCCCAACAAACAUACUUGGGAAAAAAACACUCACUUCAAGUUUUUGUUUUAUUGGAUUCAUGUACCCUAACAAUUUAUGUUUCAAACUCUACCCCAACACAAGUUUCAAAUAUGAUCAAAUAAUACUUCACCUUGUACAUCAAAUGUUGUUGAAAACUCAGCUAUUCAAGAAAUAAUUCAGUUAGAGAUACUUCAUGUAUUAGCAGGGCAGCACAUCAUUUGAAUGGAUCCUCUGGUGUCUCUUGAGAUGUGACAUUUGACUAAAGGUCUUUCCACACUUAGAACACUGAUGUGGCUUUUCUCCUGUAUGUGUAAUCUGAUGUUUGGAUAAGUUGGAGCUUACCCUGAAAUACUUUCCACAUAAAGUACACUGAUACGGCUUUUCCCCAGUAUGGAUCCUCUGGUGUUUCUUGAGAGCAGACAUGCAACUAAAGGCCUGCCCACAUGUACUGCACUGAUGGGGCUUUUCUCCAGUAUGGACCCUCUGGUGUCUCUUGAGAUGAGACAUGCAACUAAAGGCCUGCCCACAUGUACUGCAUUGAUGGGGCUUUAGUCCAGUAUGGACCCUCUGGUGUCUCUUGAGAUGAGAUGAUUGACUAAAUGCCUUCCCACAUGUACUGCACUGAUUGGGCUUUUCUCCUGUGUGUAUUCGUUGAUGAAUUGCAAAAGAGGAAUGGCUUUCAAAUGUUUUGAAACACUGGGAGCAUUCAUGUUGUUUCUCCCUGGUGUCCAGUCGCUGAUGUAAUUCAUGGUAUGAAGUCUGGGGGCGUUUAUGACGGCUCUCUUUGUUCCUUUUUUGCUCAAUGUUCCCUCUUUUGUUAGAUUGGAUCCUUUGAACGUCUCCUGUAAUGUUAGCAAAAAAAAGUUUCAACAACAUCCCUCUCCUCAGUAAUUUCGACAAUACCAGCAAACACAUAUCCUUUGUUAUAUUCAUACCUAUUGGCCAUUUGCUAAAAUUGCACAUCAUUUGGAAGUGACUUAGUAUAAAAGUGUCUACCUAGAGACUAAAUGUAAAUGUAAACAGAGAUACACACACAUGAAUUAAAGAGCUGGAGAAAAAAAAUGGUGGCAGACACUGUCUCUUUUGAAUGUAACAGACUGCAGAUAUUAUCCCAUGACUAACAUAUACC
ensembl:lncRNA